UUCGUAACCAAGGUUCCGUAGGUGAACCUGCGG
rnacentral:rRNA from 1 species